UAGGGAAUCUUCCACAAUGGGCGCAAGCCUGAUGGAGCAACACCGCGUGAGUGAAGAAGGGUUUCGGCUCGUAAAGCUCUGUUGUUAAAGAAGAACACGUAUGAGAGUAACUGUUCAUACGUUGACGGGAUUUAACCAGAAAGUCACGGCUAACUACGUGUCAG
rnacentral:rRNA from 1 species